CCCUUAGAUGUUCUGGGCCGCACGCGCGCUACACUGAUACAUGCAACGAGUUUAUAACCUUGAUCUGACGGUCUGGGUAAUCUUCAAACUGUAUCGUGUUAGGGAUCGAUUCUUGCAAUUUUUAAUCGUAAACGAGGAAUUCCUAGUAAACGCAAGUCAUCAGCUUGCAUUGAUUACGUCCCUGCCCUUUGUACACACCGCCCGUCGACUCUACCGAUUGAAUGGUUCGGUGAAAACUUUGGACUGUGGCAUUGUCCUUCAUUGGACUUCGCCGUAGGAAAUUGUUUAAACCUCCUCAUUUAGAGGAAGAAUAAGUCGUAACA
rnacentral:rRNA from 1 species